rnacentral:rRNA from 1 species
GACGAACGCUGGCGGCGUGCUUAACACAUGCAAGUCGAACGGAAAGGCCCUGCUUUUGUGGGGUGCUCGAGUGGCGAACGGGUGAGUAACACGUGAGUAACCUGCCCUUGACUUUGGGAUAACUUCAGGAAACUGGGGCUAAUACCGGAUAGGAGCUCCUGCUGCAUGGUGGGGGUUGGAAAGUUUCGGCGGUUGGGGAUGGACUCGCGGCUUAUCAGCUUGUUGGUGGGGUAGUGGCUUACCAAGGCUUUGACGGGUAGCCGGCCUGGGAGGGUGACCGGGCAAAUUUGGGCCUAGAUACCGCCCAAGCGCCUACGGGGAGCAGCAGGGGGGAAAUUUGCACAAUUGGCGGGAGCCUGAUGCAGCAACGGCGCGGGCGGGAUGGCGGGCUUCCGGGUGGAAACCGCUUUCGCCUGGGACGAAGCGGGAGUGACGGUAAUUGGGAAAGAAGCACCGGCUAACGACGGGC